UAAAAAGAACCUUUUAGCGAGAAGUUUGUUAGAUUAGGAAGAAAUAACUCUUGCUUCUCAGUUUUUACUAUUUAUUAGUGCAAAGCUUUUCAAACACCAAGUGUUCAUCAUCAGGCUUAAAUCACUAUUGAACAAAAUAACCAAGUCUACAAGCUUAUAUACUAGUGUACAAGGGUGUGGUAGUUUAACAGUACAAGGGUGUGGCAGUACAAGGGUGUGGUCAUGUGGAAGAGGGUGUGGUUGUAGGUGAGGAUGUGGUAGGAGUCAUGUCUUCAAGUUUGGUUUUAAUAACAGAAAGUAGGAUAUUUUCUAAGGGUUUUAAGUCAUUAUUUAGUAAAUUUGUUUUGUUUUUCUUCAUGGCUAUUGCUUCCCUAAUGUUUAAUUGAGAUGGUUUAUCUAUUUUUUGUAUGAGGUUCAGGUUUUCAAAGGAAGUAGUGUGGUUGGUGGCAAUGAGAUGAUCUGAGAGAGCAGACUUAUUUUCAUAUUUGUAUUUAGCAUAAUAAAGAUGUUCCUUGAACCUCUUUUUGAUGUUUCUUUUGGUUUGACCUAUAUAAAUUCCUUGGCAAUCUUUACAUUUGAUUUUGUAGAUGCCACUACAGUCUUCAGGUUUGUCUUUGUCUUUAGUGUUACCAAGAAGGUUUUUAAUUUUGUUAUCAUUGGUGAAAAUGGGUUGUAUGUUGUGUUUUCUGAAGACUGUUUUCAUUUUAUUUGUGAGAGGGGGAUAGUAACUGAUCCUAACUCUUUUGACAUCAUCUUUUUCAGCAAUAAAAGUUGUGGCAUCUCUGAUUAGUUUUUUGUUUUCAUGUUUUCUUAUAAGUUUUUGGAUAGAUGUUUUUGUGUAGCCAAGGUUGGAAGCAAUAGACAUGAUGUUUUUUAUUUCUUUAUUUUGGUUAUUUUUAUUUAGGGGGAGAUUUAAACACCUGUGUAUCAUGCUGUUGAAAGCAGCAAAUUUUUGGUUCCAAGGCUGGAAAGAGUCUGAAGGAAUGUAGUUAUUGGUGUGGGUGGGUUUUCUAUAGAUAUCAAAUUCAAGAUGGUCAGAAUGUCUAAUGAUUAACAUGUCCAGAAAAGGGAGUUUGUUUUGUUGUUCAAGCUCAUAAGUGAAUUUGAUGGUAGGAUAGAGACUAUUUAAAGCAUUGAGGAAUUCCUCAAUGUUGAAGUCUUCAGGAAUGAUACACAGGAUGUCAUCAACAUAUCUAAACCAUGCUUUGGGAAAGUUUUUAUUGUUCUUUUUGAAUUUUGUCUCAAGGUGGCUCAUGAAAAAAUUUGCCAAAAAGGGAGAUAAGGGGUUGCCCAUAGCUGUGCCUCCUGUUUGUUUGUAGUAAGUUCCAUUUAUUUGGAAAAUGUUUUGGGAAGUGCAUAAUUUUAUAGUAUUCAUAUAAUGGGUUAUUUCUUUUUUGUUGAUAUUUUGUUCUUUUAGCCAGUUUUCUAUCAUUUCUAAAGUCUCAGGAAUAGGCACACUGGGGAAAAGAUUUUGUACAUCAAAAGAUAUGAGCCUGUCUGUGUCAUUAAUAGUAAUCCCUUGCAGUUUUUCUGCAAGUUCAUAAUUAUUUUUAACUUGAAGAGUUUCAGGAAAAGGAAGGUUUUGGAGGUUACAAAGGAGUUUUUUGGCAAUGUUAUAGGAAGGAGAGUUGAUAUUGGCCACAAUUGGUCUCAUAGGAUAGUUAGGUUUAUGGAUCUUGGGAAGACAGUACAUUUUAGGAACUUUAGGAUUGGAAGGAAAAGGAGUGUUAUUAAGGAAGGGAGUAGUUUUCACCAAACUUUUCACUUCUUUCACCAUUUUAUCCACAGGAUCACUUUUUAACUUCUCAUAAGGUCCUUCAUUAAGAAGGGUUUCACACUUUUCCAAGUAUUCAUCUUUCUUCAUUAUCACUACGGUGUUUCCCUUGUCUGCUUUCAUAUAGUAGACACCUUUCUGUCUCAAGCUUUUGAUGGUGUUGUUGUGGGGAUGAAAUGGAAUUCUUGUUGGUUUAUGGGUUUUGAUGAUGUCUACCACUUCUUUCUUUAUGCUGAUUUUUGUUUCUGAGGUCUCUCUCCACAAUGAAGCAUCCACAUCAGAAAUAAUAUCUUCAAUAGGAGGCCUCAUGGACUUGGUUAUUUUGUUCAAUAGUGAUUUAAGCCUGAUGAUGAACACUUGGUGUUUGAAAAGCUUUGCACUAAUAAAUAGUAAAAACUGAGAAGCAAGAGUUAUUUCUUCCAAAUCUAACAAACUUCUCGCUAAAAGGUUCUUUUUACCUUUGACAUUAUGGCAUUCGAGCCUAAUGAACCUAAUUCAUUAUUCAACAGAUACCAAAGUCUAAAAACUAAGGUGAAGUUGAUACCUCUUGAUAUUAGUUUUCUUAAACAGUGUAGGGUACACAAUGUUUUCCCUAAGUGUGUGGUGUUUAACAGUAAAGUGAAAACUCCUUCCACAAAAAGGGCUCUAGAGAAAGCCAAAACCUAUUGGUUAAGCUCUGAGCUUCACAGCCUGUAUGCAAAAAGAUCCAGCAUAGAAGUGGAACUAUAUGCACUUCACAAAAAACUAAGCCAGACCAUACCAAAACUGCAGUGGGAUGAAAUGGAAAGAAAGAUGUUCAGAUCAAUUGAGGAGAAAAAGAGAAAGAAAAGAAAUUCACAAAACAAAAAGUUGAAAAAUCUGUUAAAAGAAAAAAGUAACCAUAGUGGUGUUAGCAAUGUUGUUAGUGUCAGUGGCAGUGACAGUAAUGGUGUUAAUGAGACUACUGUGUAUGUGAAAAACCUAACUGAUGUGGUGUUCUCCAAAGAAGAAUUGGAUCUUCUAAACAAGGGUCUAAAAUUCUCUUUACCACCCAUGAGGCCUCCUAUUGAAGAUAUUAUUUCUGAUGUGGAUGCUUCAUUGUGGAGAGAGACCUCAGAAACAAAAAUCAGCAUAAAGAAAGAAGUGGUAGACAUCAUCAAAACCCAUAAACCAACAAGAAUUCCAUUUCAUCCCCACAACAACACCAUCAAAAGCUUGAGACAGAAAGGUGUCUACUAUAUGAAAGCAGACAAGGGAAACACCGUAGUGAUAAUGAAGAAAGAUGAAUACUUGGAAAAGUGUGAAACCCUUCUUAAUGAAGGACCUUAUGAGAAGUUAAAAAGUGAUCCUGUGGAUAAAAUGGUGAAAGAAGUGAAAAGUUUGGUGAAAACUACUCCCUUCCUUAAUAACACUCCUUUUCCUUCCAAUCCUAAAGUUCCUAAAAUGUACUGUCUUCCCAAGAUCCAUAAACCUAACUAUCCUAUGAGACCAAUUGUGGCCAAUAUCAACUCUCCUUCCUAUAACAUUGCCAAAAAACUCCUUUGUAACCUCCAAAACCUUCCUUUUCCUGAAACUCUUCAAGUUAAAAAUAAUUAUGAACUUGCAGAAAAACUGCAAGGGAUUACUAUUAAUGACACAGACAGGCUCAUAUCUUUUGAUGUACAAAAUCUUUUCCCCAGUGUGCCUAUUCCUGAGACUUUAGAAAUGAUAGAAAACUGGCUAAAAGAACAAAAUAUCAACAAAAAAGAAAUAACCCAUUAUAUGAAUACUAUAAAAUUAUGCACUUCCCAAAACAUUUUCCAAAUAAAUGGAACUUACUACAAACAAACAGGAGGCACAGCUAUGGGCAACCCCUUAUCUCCCUUUUUGGCAAAUUUUUUCAUGAGCCACCUUGAGACAAAAUUCAAAAAGAACAAUAAAAACUUUCCCAAAGCAUGGUUUAGAUAUGUUGAUGACAUCCUGUGUAUCAUUCCUGAAGACUUCAACAUUGAGGAAUUCCUCAAUGCUUUAAAUAGUCUCUAUCCUACCAUCAAAUUCACUUAUGAGCUUGAACAACAAAACAAACUCCCUUUUCUGGACAUGUUAAUCAUUAGACAUUCUGACCAUCUUGAAUUUGAUAUCUAUAGAAAACCCACCCACACCAAUAACUACAUUCCUUCAGACUCUUUCCAGCCUUGGAACCAAAAAUUUGCUGCUUUCAACAGCAUGAUACACAGGUGUUUAAAUCUCCCCCUAAAUAAAAAUAACCAAAAUAAAGAAAUAAAAAACAUCAUGUCUAUUGCUUCCAACCUUGGCUACACAAAAACAUCUAUCCAAAAACUUAUAAGAAAACAUGAAAACAAAAAACUAAUCAGAGAUGCCACAACUUUUAUUGCUGAAAAAGAUGAUGUCAAAAGAGUUAGGAUCAGUUACUAUCCCCCUCUCACAAAUAAAAUGAAAACAGUCUUCAGAAAACACAACAUACAACCCAUUUUCACCAAUGAUAACAAAAUUAAAAACCUUCUUGGUAACACUAAAGACAAAGACAAACCUGAAGACUGUAGUGGCAUCUACAAAAUCAAAUGUAAAGAUUGCCAAGGAAUUUAUAUAGGUCAAACCAAAAGAAACAUCAAAAAGAGGUUCAAGGAACAUCUUUAUUAUGCUAAAUACAAAUAUGAAAAUAAGUCUGCUCUCUCAGAUCAUCUCAUUGCCACCAACCACACUACUUCCUUUGAAAACCUGAACCUCAUACAAAAAAUAGAUAAACCAUCUCAAUUAAACAUUAGGGAAGCAAUAGCCAUGAAGAAAAACAAAACAAAUUUACUAAAUAAUGACUUAAAACCCUUAGAAAAUAUCCUACUUUCUGUUAUUAAAACCAAACUUGAAGACAUGACUCCUACCACAUCCUCACCUACAACCACACCCUCUUCCACAUGACCACACCCUUGUACUGCCACACCCUUGUACUGUUAAACUACCACACCCUUGUACACUAGUAUAUAAGCUUGUAGACUUGGUUAUUUUGUUCAAUAGUGAUUUAAGCCUGAUGAUGAACACUUGGUGUUUGAAAAGCUUUGCACUAAUAAAUAGUAAAAACUGAGAA